CUCCCACUUGGGUCCACUAGCCAGGCAUCAAAAUGGAGCAAAAGAAAUGCAGAGAUGUUAGGGGAAAUUCAGCUGUCUUACACUACUGGAACCACAAGCAGUACAGCUGGGAAGCCACGGGUGAUGUACUCCCCACCUCAUCGGGAUGGACCAAGAUGACAUGCCUCAUGACCAGUGCCCCUAACCAAGAAGAGUCCAAGGCUGGGACAAAUCAAAGGAGUGAUUUUUACAAAACAGGUUUAUUUUGCUUGCUGUGCAGGGGCAGUCUAGGACUGUCUGGCUGGAAGCUGGGAUGUCUGAAAUAAGUGUAGGAGGAAAG
rnacentral:lncRNA from 1 species